GCGGAUGGUACGUUCCGCACGUGAGCUGGGUGCUGGUCUGGCCGGCGACGCGCGUGCCCUGUGGCCAAACACUGCCCGGAGUGAGAGCAAACUACCAGCGCAGUGCGUGUAUGCGCGCGCGGGGGUGCGCGCGCGGGUGUGCGAGAGGGUGAGCGAGCGAGCACGGGGCGGAGGGGCGGCCAACUGCUUCACACUUUCAACACUGCACCGAAGAGGGAGAGCGAGACAGCCUGGAGACGCACACAUCCCCCCAAGAUCUCCCCAGGCGAACGUCCCACAGAUUACAGGACAGAACCCUCCAAAUCGAAACGGAGGAAACGGACAGCCAUUGAACAUGGACGAAGGAAUCCCUCAUUUGCAAGAGAGACAGUUACUGGAACAUAGGGAUUUUAUAGGACUGGAUUAUUCCUCUUUGUAUAUGUGUAAACCCAAAAGGAGCUUGAAACGGGAUGACACCAAGGAUACCUACAAAUUACCGCACAGAUUAAUAGAAAAGAAGAGAAGAGACCGAAUUAAUGAAUGCAUUGCUCAGCUGAAAGAUUUACUGCCUGAACAUCUAAAAUUGACAACCCUGGGGCAUCUGGAGAAAGCAGUAGUUUUGGAAUUAACUUUGAAGCACUUAAAAGCGUUAACAGCCUUAACGGAGCAGCAGCAUCAGAAGAUAAUUGCUUUACAGAAUGGGGAGCGCUCUCUGAAAUCGCCUGUCCAGGCCGACUUGGAUGCGUUCCACUCGGGGUUUCAAACCUGCGCCAAAGAAGUCUUGCAAUACCUCGCGCGCUUUGAGAGCUGGACGCCCAGAGAGCCGCGCUGUGCCCAGCUCGUCAGCCACCUGCACGCCGUGGCCACCCAGCUCCUGACGCCACAGGUGCCCCCGGGCAGGGGCCCGGGCCGCGCGCCCUGCAGCACGGGGGCUGCGGCCACCCCGGGCCCCGAGCGCGCGGCCCGCUGCGUGCCGGUCAUCCAGCGGACUCAGCCCGGCACCGAGCCCGAGCAUGACACGGACACCGACAGCGGCUACGGAGGCGAGGCGGAGCAGGGCCGCGCCGCCGUCAAGCAGGAGCCACCUGGGGACCCGUCCCCUGCGCCCAAGAGGCCGAAGCUGGAGGCGCGCGGCGCGCUCCUGGGCCCGGAGCCCGCGCUGCUCGGCUCGCUGGUGGCCCUGGGCGGGGGCGCGCCCUUCGCGCAGCCGGCCGCCGCGCCCUUCUGCCUGCCCUUCUACCUGCUGUCGCCGUCCGCCGCCGCCUACGUGCAGCCCUGGCUGGACAAGAGCGGCCUGGACAAGUAUCUGUACCCCGCGGCGGCCGCCCCCUUCCCGCUGUUGUAUCCUGGCAUCCCCGCAGCAGCCGCCGCCGCCGCCUUCCCCUGCCUGUCGUCCGUGCUGUCGCCGCCUCCUGAGAAGGCAGGCGCGGCCGCCGGUGUCCCUCUGCUGGCGCACGAGGUGGCGCCCCCCGGGCCGCUGCGCCCCCAACACGCUCACAGCCGCACCCACCUGCCGCGCGCAGGGAACCCGGAGAGCUCUCAGGAAGAUGCCUCACAGCCGGCCAAAGAUGCCCCCUGAGCCCCGCAGCUCUUCCAGAACAGGGGCAAAGGGCUCCGGAGGAGUCGCCCGGUUUCCAAGUUCAAACGCCCCUUAACGCGUGCCAGGGAGGAAGAGUAAGAGAUGCUCGGCAGGCUUAGGACAAAAACAGGUGUUUUGUCAGAAGCCCCCAGCACACCUCUCCAGGAGCUGAAACCUGAAGUGGUCCCCACACUUUCUGAAGUCCAGACCCCAGCUCUAUGCCCCGUCCCCAGACUUGAUGACAGGGGAAAUCAGAAGGCCUACACUGUGGCUGCAUGCAGGUCCCAGAGAUGGACUCAGGUUGGAAGGCUGGCAGCAAGCUCCUUUACCUGCUGACCCAUCUUGAUGACUCCUUCCUUAACUUUGAUGAAUGUAACCAGUAACUCGUUUUUAAUUUUAUCUCUUACUUUGGCACUAUGAAGGUCAUUUUCUUUUUUUCCAAGCUCAACCUGGAUAGUGUACGAAUACAUCCAUUUUCCUAAGCCAUACACGACACCCAUAGCCACACUGGGAUUAACUCCAUACCCAGUGGUGUUAACCAGCAGCUCCUCACCGACAUCAAACGUUUCUGGGAGCACAGUGCUUAAACAACUGAAGAGAGAUGCUUCCUUGUGCAUCAGCCCGUGCCAAGCUGGAGAGAGGGAGCUCAGGGCUUAAGAAGGAUUGCUGCUCUAUCAUGAAGGCCGGAGUUUGGAUCCUUGCACCAUGUUAGACAGCUUGCAAAUGUCUGUAAUCCAAUGCCUUGUUCUGGCCUCCCAUGGGCACCUGAAUACAUAUUUGUGCAUAUACUCACUCUUAUAGAUAGGCGGACACAUACACACACAAUUGUUUUUUAAAUGGGUAAAAUUUUGCUUCUUAACUAGGGUCUAAGUACAAAUGCAGAAUUUCCAUGUAAUAAUUAUAAUUCAAAAAUGAGCAAAAUCUUUACGUUUAUCCAUAUAUUAUCCAUUAGAUAAAGAUGUUUCCAAUAACUGAGGCUGGUCUCCAAAAUUAGCUCUGCUUACAGGUCUCUUUCUACAUAUACUGACAAACUAAGUAGUUCAUUAUUCCCAGCCACCCCGAGUUACCUUUUGGAAAUCAUCUAAUACCCCAAAGGAACACAAGAACCACCGUUAGCCUGGACUCUCUUCUGGCUGACAGAGCACUGCCACAGCAAGGGUGGGACUGUGAGCCCAACAUCAACCCUGAAGAAGGCAGCAGGAGAAGAAAAACUGCACAGUGGGCACGUCCCUCCACGCGAUGGGAACAAAGCAGGCCACACUCAGGAGCACACGGGCUUAGCCACAGCCUCCAGCGUGAGCUCACUGGAAGCAGUUCUCCACAGUCCCCACCUCUCUGGGGUCUGCUCGGACAGGAGCCGCUGUCACAGGAUGCCACUGCUUUCAGCACAGGUAGCAUUUCCCUCCUCCUCCCUUUCCUCCAUACUCCAGCCUUGCUAUCCCCACCCCUCAGAUCACUAACCUGUCAACGAAUGCCCCAGACAGUUGGCUCUCCCUGCUGAAGGCCUGGACUGGAGGAAGCCAGGGGCUCUUCAUGGGGUAUUUCCUGCAGGCACAUGGAGGACGCUGUGUAGUCUAUUAUAUUUGUAUUACUCCAUGACACGUCAGAGACAGGCCAACUUUCUAAACAAAGGAGGUUUAUUUAGGACAAGAUCAGGUAGUCCAUGAGUUUGCCCUCUGGUGAGGUGAUGGAAAGCACCACAUAAAGACAAGAGCCAGGCAGACGGGCAGCAAGGAUGCCAGAUGGGGCUGGGCCCUGGUCAGAGUGCUUUAAACAACCCUCUUGCCAAAAAUACCGGGGUCCUGGGAAAAACACCUUGUUUCCUUUAGAGGGCAUCUCAACUGUGCCCCAUCUCUUAAAGGUCCAGAGUCUCCCAUCAUGGCAACCCAAGGAACCAGGCUUCCAGCAUACAAGUCUUUGGGGAACAUGCAAAUCACAUCCCAGAGCCACAGUGGCUCAGAGCUCACUGACACCAACUGGGAAAGGACCAGAGCAAUGUACAGCACCAAAUGGCACUGCUGUACAUAUAUCACAGAGCAGUGGCCAGCACAGGGAUGUCAAGCAGGGUAUUUCUCUAAAGAGUCAGGGGUAGAGCAUUAGCAUAAGAAAGCCACACAUGGUUGCUGCUGAUUUCCACACUGUUUGGUUUUACUGGUACAAACUUUUUUUUCCCUUUAAAUUGCAAAGUUUUUGUCUUAAAUUUUCUUAUUUUUAUUUUAUGUGCAUUGGUGUUUUGUCAUGGCUGUCAGGUCUCCUUGAACUGGAAUUAUAGACAGUUUGUGAGCUGCCAUGUGGGUGCUGGGAAUUGAACCUGGGUCCUCUGGAAGAGCAGCCAGUGCUCUUAACCACUGAGCCAACUCUCUAGCCCCUGCACAAAAAUUCUGAAAUAAAAAAAAUAUAAAAAUAAUGGACUAUUAGGACCCAUUUCUGCAGUAGUAUUAUUAAAGGGAGCAUGAGAAGCCGUCUGUCUUGUAGGGUCUUCUGUCAGGUCCCAGGAUGCUCUACGGCCCUAGAGACAGUGUGAGUGGGCAGCCCCUCCCACUGCUGCCUGCACCCUAAAGCCCCUGUGAAGAUUGCACGUGCCACUGCAGGGCUCUUUCACUAAUCACUACGAUGGGCAGUGAGCAAAUGUUAAGUACUUCUACUGAAUAAUCUGCAGAGGUGACUGAAGGACAAGCACACUGUGGCAAUUCUUCCUGAGGAGGAACUGUAGGACUUUUAUGACCUCGUGAGGAAAAGCCAGCCAAGUGGCCACGUGUUCUUGUUUACUGGCUCAAUCAAUAUGAACAGUAAGGAGUUAGCACUAAAGUCUUACUAUGUGACAAAAUGUCAGCCGGUAAACCGUCUGUCUGUCUGUCUGUCUGUCUCUAACCUUUUAUCACCUGUCUGAGUACCAUAUGACAUGAAUUGAACAAGUAUGGAAACUGAGGCACAGAGCACUCGGACACUCACCUAGGCUCCCCCUGCUAGUAAGUGGCAGGUCUGACAGUGCCAGUAAGCACUUAAGAAACGGACACAUGUAACCACUAACGCUGUCUCAGGAGAGAUGCACCAAGUCCCUGUGAGUGCAUUAGCUUUGAAGGACUUCAGGGCCACUGCUGCUGCAAAAUCAGAUGCACAGAGCUCACAGCCAAUGACCAAGAGGGAGUGAGGAACACAUGCCAUGGAGGUUUCUGAUGGCACGGUGCCUCCCAAAGCCACUCAGCUCAGCUAAGCAGGGCACACACUAGGUUCUGAAUCCAAAUUCCACCUGACCCACAGUCUAUGGAGGGCAAAUGGCAGCAUGGUAAUAGUGACUCUCUAGAUGGGAGAAGGCUGGAAAUCGUAUCCUAACAGUCACACAUGCUUAGCGGUUGAUAAAACUAGAUUUUAAAAGAAACAUUUUUAUUGAAGUAUAACAUAUUAGAGAAAACUCAGGAAUCCUAUGAGUGGAUUUUGCAAAAUGACUGCAUCUGCCUACUCACCUCCAAGUGACCUUCUAGAACUGAUCUUCUGCAAAGGCCACUACCACGACAGCUGUGAGCACACAAAGUUCGUGUAGUCUGUGAGCCCAGCUCAUGCUGCUCUCAACAGCAAUAGCUCACUCCAGCUGCAGUAGAGAUGUUUGCUGCAAUGGAGUACUUUGACUUCCAGAUCCAGACCACCACAAGCAUGCCACUGCACUGUAACUGCCUGCUAGCCCACUCUGUCCACUUGCCUCUAUUUGCACACAUACUCUGUACACUAUCGCUACAGGAAACCCCUUUCAAAUAUAACCCUCCUCAAGACAUUUCACAUCUGUCCAACACAUGACUCUGUAGCUUCUUCGAGCUGUAUGUGCUACUGUCUUUCCCUGGAAAUUCUUUGCCUCCUAAUUCUCCACAAACUGAGUCCUUUGCCCCAGUGACCUACACAAGGUGGACGUGCACGCACGUCUGUGGACUCCAGACAGUAACUGCACAGAUGCUGGUAAGGAAAAGCACAGGCACCCUGAGAACUGGGCGAGAGAACUCAGGAGUGUUCAGUACCACAGAAUCCUUCCUUUGCCUCUAGUUCCUAAACCAUACCAUUAACUGAUGCUACGGUGACUAUAAACUCCACAGUGUGACCCUCAGAAAUUACCCCCAGGUGGUGUCUAAUGCAUGGCCGCUACUCUCAGCUGUACUCCACGGCUUCCCCAGGAGCUUAAACAAAACCGUUUACUGCAGCAGAUUCACAGAUUUUUUUUUUUUUUUUUAACAUUUAGGGAAAUAUCCAAGCAAAUCAUAUUAUAGGAGAUAGAAAAACAAUUACAAAAACUAUGUCUAAUAUCACUUAGAA